AUGUUCUCGUGGGCCCGUAGCAAGCAGUCCUCACCCGCCUCCUCCUCCGGCCGCCGCGGCGGGGACGCCGCCGCCGCCGCCAUGGACUCCGGCAGCAGCCGCCGCAGCGGCGGCGGGAGCGGGCACGGGAGCGGCCACGGCAGCGGGAGUGGGAGCGGGAGCGGGAGCCGCGGACGCAGCCCGCGGCUGGAGCGGCGCAACGCGGCGAAGCACAUCGACUACGAGGUGGGCGCGGCGGCGACGUCCGUGUCCGCCUCGUGGUCGACCUCGUCGUCGGAGCGCUCGCCGGGGGCCCGGCCGACGCGCUCGCUCGACCUCGCGGCCAGGGGCGGCCGCGCGGACUUCCGCAUCAACGGCAGCGCGGAGGGGGAGGUCGACGAGCUCUGCCGCAGCCUGGGGCUGUCGGGGCCCGAGGACUUCGCCAUCCCCGUCGCCGCCUGGGAGGCCCGCAAGGCGCGCUCCAGCUCCGACCUCCUCGCCCGCCCCCGCCCGGACCCGGACUCGUCGGCUCCUCCCGGGGAGGAGCCCGCCCCCGUCGUCCGCACCGUCUCCGCCCCCGAGGUCCCGUGGCCCGCGCCUCACUCCUUCCCCGACCCCAUUCCCGAGGAGUCCAUCCACUCCUCCUCCGCUUCCACCGCCACUGCCACUGACUCGGUGGACGAACCCAUCAUCGCGCCGCCGGAGGAAUCCCCCAAAGCUACCCGUGCGGUUGCUGUUGCGGCGCCCGUCGCGGCCUUGUCACUUCCCUCGCCGAGAAGGGGCGGCGGGGAGGUCGGGAUCCGGGGCGUCCGGCCGCCAGUGCUCUCCCCGCCUCCGCCGAUCACGGGACUCGCGCCGCCACCGGCGAGGCAGUCGUCUGUGGCUGAGAUCAUGAGCGGGUCGGCCUGGGACAUUGUGAACUCGUUCGCUCCCACGGAGGAGAAUAGUGAACUGAGAAUGGCCUAUGGACAUGCUGAAACAUCUCACAUGUCAGACACAGAGGAGGAUAAUCCUGAGGAGAACGAUGAAGGAUUGACGGGGCUUGAGGGGGAGCUUAAAGGCUGGAGGGUAGGGGAGACCUUUGAAGGGUUCACCGGGACAUCCUCAUUGUCGACAACAAAUGAUGAUGAUGCAUCUAGCACGAAUACAGAGGCCGUGUUCGUCAUCUCGCCGAAUGGCAAGUUCAAGCGGAACAUCAAGUCAUGGAUGCGUGGUGCACUUCUGGGAAGUGGCUCAUUCGGGAUGGUGUACGAAGGGAUCAGUGAUGAAGGUGCGUUCUUUGCUGUUAAGGAAGUAUCGUUGCUUGACCAAGGAAGCAAUGCACAGCAAUCUAUUCUUUCACUUGAACAGGAAAUCGCUCUCCUUAGUCAGUUUGAACAUGAAAACAUAGUCCAGUAUUAUGGAACUGACAAGGAAGAAUCAAAACUCUACAUUUUUAUUGAGCUUGUUACACAAGGUUCUCUUUCAUCCCUCUAUCAAAAGUAUAAACUGCGAGACUCACAAGUCUCUGCGUACACAAGGCAGAUUCUCAAUGGAUUGGUUUAUCUCCAUGAGAGGAAUGUGGUCCACAGAGAUAUCAAAUGCGCCAAUAUAUUGGUUCAUGCAAAUGGAUCGGUAAAACUUGCAGAUUUUGGGUUGGCAAAGGAGAUGUCUAAAAUUAAUAUGCUGAGAUCAUGCAAAGGAAGUGUUUAUUGGAUGGCACCUGAGGUUGUUAAUCCUAGAAAAACAUAUGGGCCUGCAGCUGAUAUGUGGAGCUUGGGCUGCACUGUGUUGGAAAUGCUAACCCGCCAAAUACCAUAUCCCAAUGUCGAGUGGACAAAUGCUUUCUUUAUGAUUGGCAAAGGAGAACAACCACCCAUUCCCAGCCACUUGUCAGCAGAAGCUCAAGAUUUCAUACGCCAAUGUGUACGAGUCGAUCCAGACGAGCGACCUUCCGCAUCACAACUUUUGGCGCACCCAUUUGUUAACCGGCCACUUCGAGCUUCUUUUGAUUCUUUGUCUCCUCCGAUCAAUAGGCCCUAG
rnacentral:rRNA from 1 species